UAGGGAAUCUUCCGCAAUGGACGAAAGUCUGACGGAGCAACGCCGCUUGAGUGAAGAAGGAUUUCGGUUCGUAAAACUCUGUUGUUAGGGAAGAAAAAAUGUAUAGUAACUAUAUACAAAAGAGACGGUACCUAACCAGAAAGCCACGGCUAACUACGUGCCAGCAGCCGCGGUAAUACGUAGGUGGCAAGCGUUGUCCGGAAUUAUUGGGCGUAAAGCGCGCGCAGGUGGUUUAGAAAGUCUGAUGUGAAAGCCCACGGCUCAACCGUGGAGGGUCAUUGGAAACUAAUAAACUUGAGUGCAGGAGAGAAAAGUGGAAUUCCUAGUGUAGCGGUGAAAUGCGUAGAGAUUAGGAGGAACACCGGUGGCGAAAGCGGCUUUUUGGCCUGCAACUGACACUGAGGCGCGAAAGCGUGGGGAGCAAACAGG
rnacentral:rRNA from 1 species